UAGGUUACUGUAGAGCUCAUAGAAAUUCUA
rnacentral:piRNA from 1 species